UUCACAUCCAUCCUGAGGAGCACAGGUUUUUCAUUUGUGAAUUCCUUUCUUCUGUAGUCUUUCUGUUUUGACCACAUUCUUAUUGUCAGCAAUCGAUUUCAUAGCUCCCCUUGCAAAACAAGUGUUUUGUUUAUGCUUUGUGCAUAACAAGUUUCAAGACAGUGAUUAAUUUAGAUGAAAAACUUCACAGUGACUACAUGUUAUGUAGGGUGAAAAUAAGUUGCCAAACAGAGGCAUCUAACUCAAGAGAUCAUGUGAAAGUAAAACACCCAAAUAGCAACUACAACAUAGGUCCUGUAAGAGAGCUGAGUUCUACAGGUGUACCAAUUGAGUGGCAGACAGGAUAGCCUCUGUCAGAUGAGUACUUUGCCAAUCUUUCUACACUGAGACUCAGCAGCACUUCUGCACUAGGUUUUACAGCAGCUGCAGGGAACAACAUAGGUCCAGGGAGACUGAGAGCCACCUUCAGUCAUCCCAAAUCUACCUCAGUCUUUGUGUCCAGCAUUUUCCACUGGAAACCCCUCCACACCAGUUGAAACACUAUCACUUGGUAGCGAUUUCUAUGGGCUGAGUUUGGCCAGCUUUCUCCAGGAUGAUGCCUUGGAGCCAAGAGAACCUUUGGAUGGACUCUUAGAGGGGAAUCUGACUGGUUUUUAGGAGGCAGUCUGAAAGGAGAAAAUGAGGCCUCUACAAUAUAUGAGCUUCUGCUCUGGUAGUGAAUUGUAGCUGUAACUGGAUAAGGUACUGACCAAGAAGUGAGGCCUGCAGGAAGCAGAAGGCAAACGGGAAGAAAGCCAGCAAAACAAAAAAAAAACAAGUCUGGCACACAGGAAGACAAGACCACGAAAGAGACUAAAGGCAGCGAGUGACCAAGAGCGCGGGUGCCGGGCCCUUCUGGAUUUUGAUCUCAGAUUCCGUGCUGACUCACCACGCGGCCACCAACCAAUGGCUCCACCUUCGUGUUUCAGUUUCUCCUAGGAAG